AAAAGUCGUAACAAGGUUUCCGUAGGUGAACCUGCGGAAGGAUCAUUAAAAAAAGGGUCGCAAGACCCAUUUUUAAAACCUACCACCACCUAUCAUCUAUGGGUGAGACACUCUUGUCUAUGGAUGAGAUGGAGGAGGUAGGGCUUUUUAAAAUCCAAUUAUUAUAAAAUCGUCUAAUGACGAACCAAAAAAAAAUUAUCAAAACUUUCAACAAUGGAUCUCUUGGCUCUC
rnacentral:misc_RNA from 1 species